rnacentral:rRNA from 1 species
AUUGAACGCUGGCGGCAGGCCUAACACAUGCAAGUCGAGCGGAUGAAGGGAGCUUGCUCCUGGAUUCAGCGGCGGACGGGUGAGUAAUGCCUAGGAAUCUGCCUGGUAGUGGGGGAUAACGUCCGGAAACGGGCGCUAAUACCGCAUACGUCCUGAGGGAGAAAGUGGGGGAUCUUCGGACCUCACGCUAUCAGAUGAGUCUAGGUCGGAUUAGCUAGUUGGUGGGGUAAAGGCCUACCAAGGCGACGAUCCGUAACUGGUCUGAGAGGAUGAUCAGUCACACUAGAACUGAGACAGGGUCCAGACUCCUACGGGAGGCAGCAGUGGGGAAUAUUAGACAAUGGGCGAGAACCUGAUCCAGCCAUGGCGCGUGUGUGAAGAAGAUCUUCGGAUUGUAAAGCACUUUAAGUUGGGAGGAAGGGCAGUAAGUUAAUACCUUGCUGUUUUGACGUUACCAACAGAAUAAGCACCGGCUAACUUCGUG